rnacentral:lncRNA from 1 species
UUUUGGGUCCAGGUAUUACAACUCUCAUCCCCUAAAAGAAAUUUUGUCCCUUAAAUUUGUCUCUCUCUCACUGAAUCAAACAGUUGAAGAUAUUGAGCUAUGAAGUCUGAUUCUAGCUCCCAUGUGGCCUCUGUGUGUGUGUGUUUUUGACAUAAGACCUUAAUGAAGGAAAUUUUCUGGUUGCGGAUUACUCUCCUCUUUCAGUCCACAAUACCCAUCGGUACCUCCACAUAGUACAAAUCCUCCUAAGGUGAAAGAGGCUCGUGGGCCAAGAUUUGAGAGAGAUCCGAGUUGUACUUGCGUAGCAUGGACACAUAAGACACAUUAUGGACUCUGAACAGUUCUGGAGGUAGUGCAAGUCUGUAGGUGGCAGUGCCCAUUCUGUCUAAAAUUUU